rnacentral:lncRNA from 1 species
CACUUGUAGAAGACAGCCACCACACAAAAUGUUCAGUUUGCACUGCUCUACUGAGAGGCCAAUGGUACAGUGACUGUGCCCUACUGAGCCCAGCCAGCCCUGCUCUCCCAUGCUGUGAGGAUCUCCAUGCUCACCUGCUUCUUGGACGAACCCAGCUCCCUGCUAGGCUCGACAACUGGACUCACUGAGUCAUAGGGGAGAAGAAUAAUGCAAACCACAUUCUGUUGGCACAACUGAACUUCUACAACAUCUGUGUCUUGGUGUCAUCUCUGCUACAGUGUGAACGGUCACUCAGAUUUGCCCACUGAAUUGUGUUACGACAUUGAAGGCCGAGACUGGUGAGCGUAUACAAGGAGCUCUAUCUACUCAACAGUCUUGGUGGACAAGCUGAGAAAAACUCAGUCCACUGUUAACAUGAUUACCAUUUUUCUCCUGUAGGAUAUUCUAGAAGAUUAUGAUCCAUU